GGGGGUUUAGCUCAGUUGGUAGAGCGUUCGCUUAGCAUCUGUCUAAGUUGCGAAAGGUCGCGUGUUCGACUCAUGCAGUCUCCA